rnacentral:tRNA from 1 species
GCCCUGAUAGCUCAGCGGGAGAGCACCGUCCUGACGCGACGGAGGCGGCGGUUCGAGACCGUCUCGGGGGCACCA